rnacentral:rRNA from 1 species
GCGUGAGUGAUGAAGGCCUUAGGGUUGUAAAGCUCUUUUAUCCGGGACGAUAAUGACGGUACCGGAGGAAUAAGCCCCGGCUAACUUCGUGCCAGCAGCCGCGGUAAUACGAAGGGGGCUAGCGUUGCUCGGAAUCACUGGGCGUAAAGGGCGCGUAGGCGGCCAUUCAAGUCGGGGGUGAAAGCCUGUGGCUCAACCACAGAAUUGCCUUCGAUACUGUUUGGCUUGAGUUUGGUAGAGGUUGGUGGAACUGCGAGUGUAGAGGUGAAAUUCGU